AAGAAACACCUUACCAUUUCCUGCCCAAGCUGAAGCCCAGCUUGUGUUCGUCCCCUCCUCCAUUUUGCCUGCCCCUGUGUGGAGGCAGAAGGCUGCCCAGCACCUGGUGCCCGCAUAAGGGGGAUCCAGGCUGGGGCAAAAGGAGGCAUCGCCUUAAUCCUGCCCACCUCAGACGGGCUUCAUCAGAAGGCGUGGCACCUAAUUCCCGUGCUUCUGACAGAGUUCACAGUGGAGAUUCAAUGACUUGCCCAGGGUAACACAAAGCUGGCCUUGAUUCUAACUGGAGAUCCAGUGUUCUUAUACUUUUGCCAUGUUCUCUCCAGUCUGCCUCAUAGAAAAUCAGAAUCUAGGAGGCAUUUUGAAGAGGACAAUAGUCACUUGGAUGUCUGAGUUCUGGGUCCUCUGCAAGAGAAGGUGGGAAGGAGCUUCACAAGAUCAGAAGAAAGCUGGCGGGAGAUUUUGCAGAGACCAAACUGUUCAAAAAAGGAAAACAAGCUGUCCACAUCCAGGGAACUGCCAUUCCUGCCAAUUCCUGACUAAUCACAAGGAUGAAGUUUCCCUCAAGGAAAAGGAAAGAAAGUUGGACUGGAAGAGUGACAAAAGCCAGGAGAACUCUGGAGCCAGAAUAUAGAGCUCCCGAAAAGCUUUCUCCUGACCCUGCUCCUCUGUCCCUCUCGGUCCCCAGGGCAACUGUACUAAAUAUACGAGGAUCUGGGGGAACUAGCCAGGACCUAAGAGGUAACCACUGUCCCUGCAAAUUUUAGUUGGAUAACUUAGCACCUGGGUAAUAAAUCGAUGGCAGA